rnacentral:rRNA from 1 species
GCAUAUCAAUAAGCGGAGGAAAAGAAACCAACAGGGAUUGCCCUAGUAACGGCGAGUGAAGCGGCAACAGCUCAAAUUUGAAAUCUGGCUCUUUCAGAGUCCGAGUUGUAAUUUGCAGAGGGCGCUUUGGCUUUGGCAGCGGUCCAAGUUCCUUGGAACAGGACGUCACAGAGGGUGAGAAUCCCGUACGUGGUCGCUAGCUAUUGCCGUGUAAAGCCCCUUCGACGAGUCGAGUUGUUUGGGAAUGCAGCUCUAAAUGGGAGGUAAAUUUCUUCUAAAGCUAAAUAUUGGCCAGAGACCGAUAGCGCACAAGUAGAGUGAUCGAAAGAUGAAAAGCACUUUGGAAAGAGAGUCAAACAGCACGUGAAAUUGUUGAAAGGGAAGCGCUUGCAGCCAGACUUGCUUGCAGUUGCUCAUCCGGGCUUUUGCCCGGUGCACUCUUCUGUAGGCAGGCCAGCAUCAGUUUGGGCGGUGGGAUAAAGGUCUCUGUCACGUACCUUCCUUCGGGUUGGCCUUAUAGGGGAGACGCCAUACCACCAGCCUGGACUGAGGUCCGCGCAUCUGCUAGGAUGCUGGCGUAAUGGCUGUAAGCGGCCCGUCUUGAAACACGGACCAAGGAGUCUAACAUCUAUGCGAGUGUUUGGGUGUCAAGCCCGAACGCGUAAUGAAAGUGAACGGAGGUGGGAACCCGCAAGGGUGCACCAUCGACCGAUCCUGAAGUUUACGGAAGGAUUUGAGUAAGAGCAUGGCUGUUGGGACCCGAAAGAUGGUGAACUAUGCUUGAAUAGGGUGAAGCCAGAGGAAACUCUGGUGGAGGCUCGCAGCGGUUCUGACGUGCAAAUCGAUCGUCAAAUUUGGGCAUAGGGGCGAAAGACUAAUCGAACUAUCUAGUAGCUGGUCUGCGAG